rnacentral:tRNA from 1 species
GCCUGGCUGGCUCAUUAGGUAGAGCACAGGCUUCUUGAUCUCAGGGUCAUGAGUUCAAACCCCAUGUUGGGCG